GCCCUCGUAGCUCAAUAGGUAGAGCAACUGACUUUUAAUCAGUAGGUCGGUGGUUCGAUUCCACUCGGGGGUA
rnacentral:tRNA from 1 species